GUGACAAUAAAUUUUCAUACCAUUACAAUACUGUCCGGCACAAAAAUGGUGUGGUUUUGAGGUGUGCCUCUAAGGGUGGCAAUGUGCCUGGCGUGGGCCGAGCCAGAAUAGGGCCAUCCCAUGCCCGACCUAGCCCUAUUGGGGCCGGCCCCAAACAAAAUGACAAAAAAGAACGAGAAUUAAAAAUAAAUGAAAAAAAUAGGAGAAAAAAUCGGGUUGGGUCGGGCCGGGUCUAACAAGGCAGGCACCAGGCCUAGUGUGGCCCUUAGGCCACCGUUUGCGGGACAGGUCCUGCCCUUUUAAGGCCGGGCCAUCAGUCCCAUUGCCAGCCUAUUGCCUCACUUCGAUCGUUUCGAGGCUGAGGCCCUGUACAAACCUCAUCCAUUACAAAAAAUAAUGACAAAAGAGGCUCCAUUAAACUUUGUAGAUAUGCACAAACAAAACCACCCAACGGAAACCAGGGACAAUUUACCUCUAGAGAAACCAGACCACAAAACCAGCUUCCCCUGCAAGCACUAAACCAAUGCUAUGCACACCUUACCUGAAACCCAAAACCGCCUUCCUCUCGAACCAAACCACCAAAAAACCCAGAAGCAACGACCCCCUCAUUUGGUGAAGAAAGCAGCCAAAACCAUUAAGAAAACAACCAAAACACAUCGAAAAAAAAAAAAGGAAAUAAUUUACAUCUGAAAAAAACCCAUUAACAAAAACAGAGAAGAACACCAAACAAAAGCCAUAUACAUCUCAUAUACAGAGACCCAUAACAAUAAAACCACCUUUCUUCCACGAAAAACCAGAAAUCUCCUCUUUAAUUAACAUAAAAAGGCUGCCAAAACCGCCUGUUCAGUCAUAGUAUUUCCCUACUUGGUAGAAAGAGAAGGUCUUCUCUUAAAAUCCAUCUUUGAGGUUGACUCUAAACCAGAGGAACCAUCUUUUCGUGAAUUUCCAUCGGUCUCCUCUUGUAUGGUCUCGAGCCUGAGGUCGAAGCUGGGCCGUCGAUCCACCUUGAUGAUCCGGGGUGGGGCGGUCUCCAUCGUCUGACGCGUGGCACCAAGCACCUUAGCCAUGGCUUCUUCCUCUUCUUCUUCUUUCUUUGUUAUGGGGCUUUGGUGAGGGCUUACAAGUAGAGGAAGAUAUAGAGGCCCCAAUAGAUAAGAACACCAGAGAAGUCUUUUUUUUUUUAAUAGAAAUAUAUUUUUUGUAGUGUUAUCCUUUAAUAGAAAAAUAGAAAUAACAAAAAACCCACAAAAAGGCGAAUAGAUAGGAAGAGGUGAUGUUCCAUUCG
rnacentral:lncRNA from 1 species